rnacentral:rRNA from 1 species
UGGGGAAUAUUGGACAAUGGGCGCAAGCCUGAUCCAGCCAUGCCGCGUGAGUGAUGAAGGCCUUAGGGUUGUAAAGCUCUUUUUACCGGGGAUGAUAAUGACAGUACCUGGAGAAUAAGCUCCGGCUAACUCCGUGCCAGCAGCCGCGGUAAUACGGAGGGAGCUAGCGUUGUUCGGAAUUACUGGGCGUAAAGCGUACGUAGGCGGUGACUCAAGUCAGAGGUGAAAGCCUGGAGCUCAACUCCAGAACUGCCUUUGAAACUAGGUCGCUAGAAUCACGGAGAGGUGAGUGGAAUUCCGAGUGUAGAGGUGAAAUUCGUAGAUAUUCGGAAGAACACCAGUGGCGAAGGCGGCUCACUGGACGUGUAUUGACGCUGAGGUACGAAAGCGUGGGGAGCAAACAGGAUUAGAUACCCUCGUAGUCCCUGAGCGGGCUGGCAAGGCGCAU